UGGGGAAUAUUGCACAAUGGGCGAAAGCCUGAUGCAGCGACGCCGCGUGAGGGAUGACGGCCUUCGGGUUGUAAACCUCUUUCAGCAGGGACGAAGCGCAAGUGACGGUACCUGCAGAAGAAGCACCGGCUAACUACGUGCCAGCAGCCGCGGUAAUACGUAGGGUGCAAGCGUUGUCCGGAAUUACUGGGCGUAAAGAGUUCGUAGGCGGUUUGUCGCGUCGGUUGUGAAAACCAGCAGCUCAACUGCUGGCUUGCAGGCGAUACGGGCAGACUUGAGUACUGCAGGGGAGACUGGAAUUCCUGGUGUAGCGGUGAAAUGCGCAGAUAUCAGGAGGAACGCCGGUGGCGAAGGCAGGUCUCUGGGCAGUAACUGACGCUGAGGAACGAAAGCGUGGGUAGCGAACAGG
rnacentral:rRNA from 1 species